ACGGAGGGUGCAAGCGUUAAUCGGAAUUACUGGGCGUAAAGCGCACGCAGGCGGUUUGUUAAGUCAGAUGUGAAAUCCCCGGGCUCAACCUGGGAACUGCAUCUGAUACUGGCAAGCUUGAGUCUCGUAGAGGGGGGUAGAAUUCCAGGUGUAGCGGUGAAAUGCGUAGAGAUCUGGAGGAAUACCGGUGGCGAAGGCGGCCCCCUGGGCCGUACCUGACGCUAAGACGCGACAGCACGGGGAGCGAACGG
rnacentral:rRNA from 1 species